UAUGCCCUAGAGGAGAUGUACUUCCCUAAGGUCGUAUAUAAAUAUCAGAGGAUUAUUUUCUGUUGCUUUCACACCUUGAGUCAUCAUUCAUGCUUGUGCAAAUGGACAUAGCAUUGCUACUAAGCAGUUUACAAUAACAUCUUACAGAAUUGUAAAUUAGUGCCCCAGAGACAUGAUAGCAGAGAGUCAGCACUUACAUGGGCAGCUGAGCAUAGAGAUUUAGGGAUUUCUUUUCACCUAGCUGUUUUUACUGUUUGGUUUCUUUUUAGUCACAUGUAGAAGCAUAUCCUAAACAUAUUUCAUCCUAGUAUCUUGGUGUGCUAAGCAUUCUUUUUCCUAUUCAGUUAAAUGGAAACUGUAUAGAAAAACAGCAGUGAGCAGCAUAUUGCCUUGGAAGCAAUAAAAUAAAAUUACCUGUGUUUGCUAUUUAAAAAAACAAGCAACACAAACAUGACAGGGGGCACCUCUACACCAUGCAACAGAGCAUAAGACUUAGCAUAUAUUCAUCGAGUUACUUUUGAAAUAGGAGACAGCAGCUGCAGACUUUUGUAUGAGUGCUGUUGCACCCAAAGUACUUAACCCUGUGGUAGAUGGUGCUAAUUAGGUUGGACAUGGUGCUAAUUAGUUUAGAUACAGCACUGUGGUCAUGCAAAUACACAGAGAGCCUGUGAGUCCAGCUCAGACCUGGCUGGAGCAUUCUGCACUAACUGCUGCAUGAGGCCAUAUGUGUGCAUCCAGAGAGAGAAAUGGCUUGCUCUUGGCCACUUGUUCAUUACCCCUGUAGGGUUUAGCUUCAGUAACAGAUGCAUUUGCCACAUACAGGUGUCAGAUGUGGCUUUGUUCCAGGUUUACUUCCCUCUUGAUAAAAGCAGAAGACACACUUCUAAGUGUGUUUUUCAGGCUCUGAGUUGUUGUUGUGGAAUAAUGGGUAUCCAACACAGCUGCUUCUUAAAACUGUUCUGUUUUACUUCUUAAUUAAGGCUGUAAGUACUGAGAGGAGCAGGAAAGAAGGGGAUGGUAAUUUUUUCAGUCACUAGAAGUUUAUGGAAAUUGUGCAUAUCUGCUGCAAGGUCAUGGAGGCAGACAGCAGUAUGACAAAGAGCCAAGCACAUUCUUCUCCAGUACAUUUAUCAGGAGACCUGCCUUCCCCCUUCAGUGAGACAAAGCAAUGUUUCAGAUUGGAGAUACGAUCAUGACUACAACAUAAAUUCUGUAUCUAUGUAACUGGAUGGCAAAUACAUCACCAAAGCACUGACUGCAGAAUUGCUGUCUUUUUACAUAACUGUUUCAUAUAUCUAUAAAUAUAACAUUCUUUCAAAAUUAGAAUGUUCAGGUUGAUGUUUGUAGGAAGGUUAGUGCUUAUUAGUAAGAACAAAGUAAGCUGAAGAAGCUUUGUUCAAGAGGCAGUGUUCAGAAUAACCUGUGGGAUAAAGGAAAUUACAAGAUCUUUCUCCUUUUUUUGUAUUUUUUAAAGGAUCUCAGGUAGUCAUUCUGGCAACUUCUCUCUAUUGUUUCAUUUCUGUUUGACAGACAGAUGAGACAAAAGUUUCAUUAGAAUGUUGUGAGCCAUCAGUAAUAACUAGGAAAGACUAGUGAAAAUGUGGACCCUGUCUAUAAGGAAAUGGGACGUGGUCAUCCAGUAUAUGGAGAAAACUAAAGUACACAACAACUUUUUUGCCUCAGUCUUCACUGACAGGUGCUCCAGUCACAGUGCCCAAGUUACAGAAGGCAAGGGCAGGGACUGGGGAAGGAAGAUCAGAUUCUGCUCUAGGAGAAGAUGAGGUUUUGAGAACCUGAAGAUGCCCAGGUUCAUGGGACCAGAUGAGAUACAUCCACAGGUCCCAAGGGAAGUGGCAGAGGAAGUGGCUAGGUCACUAUCCAUUGUAUUUGAGAAGCUGUGACAGUUUGGUGAAGUUCCCUCUAACUGGAAAAGGGGAAAUGUAGUCCUCAUGUUUAAAGAUGGGGAAAAGGAAGAUGUAGGGGACUAGAGGCCAGUCAGUCUCACCUUGUUAUCUUGCAAGAUCAUGAGGCAAAUCCACCUGGAAACUGUUCUAUGGCAUAUAGAAAAUAAGGAAGUGAUUGGUGACAGCCAACAUGAUGUCACUAAGGGCAAGUCAUGCCUGACAAAUUUGUUGGCCUUCUACAGUGGGGUAACAGUGGGUAAGGGAAGAACAACUGAAAUCAUCUACCUGGUCUUGUGCAAAGCAUCUGACACUGUCCUGUACAAUAGCCCUAUUUGUAAACUGAAGGGAUACAGAUUUGAUGGAUGGACCAGCUGGCAGAUAAGGAUGUGGCUGGAUACUCACACUCAGUUCUGAGUUGCUGUCAGUGCCCAAUGUCCAAAUGGAGGAGUGACAAGUGGUGUUCCUCAGAGGCUGGUAAUGGGCCAGGCACUGUUUAACACCAUUGCAAGGUAACAUAGAGAGGAAUGUUGAGGGCACCCUUAGCAAGUUUGCCAUCAACACCUAACUCUGUGGUGCAGUUGGCACACUGCAGGGAAGGGAUGCAUUAGGGUGACCUGGUCAGUCUUGAGCUGUGGGAUUGUGCAAACCUCAUGGAAUUCAACAAAGCCAAGUGCAAGGUUGUGGGUGUGGGCAAUCCCAGGCAUGAAUACAGGCACGAAUACAGGCUGGACAGGUGGGUGGAUGAGAAGAUUUUCAUGAGCUGACAAAGGUGCACCUGCAGCCCAGAAAGCCAAAUGUGUCGUGGGCUGCAUCAAAAGCAGCAUGGCCAGCAGAGUGAGGGAGGGGAUUCUGCCCCUCUCCUCUGCUCUCAUUAGACACCACUUGGAAUGCUGCAUCUGGCUCUGGGGUCCCCUACAUAAGGACAUAGACCUGUUGGAGUGAGUCCAGAGGAGAACAGGAUGAUCAGGGGGAUGGAUGAGGAAAGACUGAGGGAGUUGGGGUUUUUCAGCCUACAGAAGAGAAAGCUCUGGGGAGAUCUGAUUGUGGCCUUUACCACUUAGAAGGGGGCUGCAAGAGAGCUUAAGAGAGACUUUUCACAAGGGCAUGUAAUGAUAGGACAAGGGGGAAUGUCUUUGAACUGAAAGGAGUUAGGUGUAGAUUGGAUAUCAGGAAAAUGUUCCUUACUGUGAGGAUGGUGAGGCACUGGAACAGGUUGCUUUGAGCAGUUGUGGAUGCCCCAUCCCUGGAAGUGUUCAGGAUUAGGUUGGAUGAGGCUCUGAGAUAACUGGUCUAGUGAAGGGCGUCCCUGUGCAUGGCAUGUGUGCUGGAACUGGCUGAUCUUCAAGGUUCCUUCCAACCCGAAGAGUGCUAUAAUCUAUGACAACUGACCUGUGGCAAGUCAGCUAGCAACUGUGCUACAUAAUAUACUUGGACAUAAUGGACAUAAUUGGACAACUUUGGACGAGGUUUCCUAGAGGCUGGACUGGAAUAUGUCUCCUGGGAAAAUACCUGAUUUUGCCUGAAAGAUUCCAAGCAAUGGUGACUUACCACCUCCUCAGACAGAUGAAGCAUUACUAUGCUGAGAAGACAGUGCCAUGUGAAAGCCUGCCAGACAACCCAGACGGAGUGCCAUGAAGAGCUAACUGCAAGACCUGAUGGCUGUGUAUUUAGAAGUUCACAGACUUGCAAAUCAGAAUGAAAUAGAAAUUGAUUCUAGUCCUAGAAGAGGAAAGGAGGAAUACCCUGACAAGGCCAUGGUAGAAAGAUGGCACCUGUCCCCACUAUAAGGCAGCCUUGGAGGGGUAUCACUUCUUCCAAGAUUGGAUACAGCUUGGGCUCACACCACCAGGUUGUAUACAAGUGCAGAAAGAGGCAUUCAUUAUCCCACAGGUAUGCUUGGCUUACCUUCUCAGCUCCCAUGGUCUCUCUACCUCCCUAGAAAACCAGCUGCUGGGAGCUAUAUGCAUAACAUACAGAGGUAUAAAAGCCAAGGCAAGGGAACAGAACACCAGUGGUAACAACAGAUCAAAGGUCUUUCGUGAACAGUGCUGAGCAGCUACAUACCCCACAGACUCUCUAAGAGAAACCUUGAUUUCAGCCCAAUGUCUCUAGGAAUAUGCAUAUGAGAAGCUUGUUUCAAGAGUUUCUGGAAACGUUCAUCCUCCAGCACACACAGAGGAAGGUCUGCCUCUCCUCUGCCUUUUAUCUCCUCAAGCUUUUGUUUGAGGUCCCGCAAGGCCUGGAGCUCAUCGUUCAGACGAUUCUGCCUUGUGCGCGACGCCUGGAGAUCCAGCUCCAAGUCCAGGGAAGUGCGCACGGGGCACUCUUGCGCAGCUCUUCGCAUGAUCGGCUGGCAAACAGGCUGGGUUGUUUGGGAGAGAACAGUAAAAAUUAACAGCUGGAGAGGCUGGUGGAGACUUUGACAUACUGCAGUAUGAAAAGCUCAGCACCAUAAUGCAAGGAAGGCUGGAUGUGCCUGUGGUGCAAGUUGGGGACUGGGAAGACCCCCAGCUCUUCAGCCCUCUUCGCGAACUUGGAUGCAGCUACAGUGCCCACUCUGGAGUCACCAGCAGUGGGCAACAAGUGUUCCUGACAUGGCAAAAGAUGUAUCUGCAGACAUGCUCUUUUCACAGGAUGUAUUGGUUCCGCUCGCCUGGAGAGAAGGUUUGGGAGCGCACUAUCAUGCUGUUCCUGACAAAGGGACGCUGUCUGGAGCUCCAGCUGCCUCUGUCCUUGGGUCGGACUGCUGUGUUCUCGUUAACCAGUUCCUCAGUGUUAGUCUCUUUAUCGACCUAUGAAAAGGAAUUUAAUGUGUAACACUUACUAUAACCAGGUACACGCCCCCACAUAGUUUUUGUGCCUUCAGAUUUUACAAGCAUUCUCAUUUCCUUGCAGUGGAUGGAAAAAGACCAGCGGCAAAAAGCACCGUGCAUUUACAGAGAAGCUAUUCUAAGUAAAGAAAUACAAAAUUCCCAAGAGGCUUAAGAGUGUGUAGAGAGGCUUUGAAGGUACUCUUUGUAGCCAGUAAAGCCUAAGCUUUUGCAGAAAGGCCUUUGCUGCUUGGCAGAUGGUUUGAUGCAAACACAGUCCAAGAAAUGUUUUGCUUUGCCAUUUGCAGGCAUGAUUAUUGCACGUUUAUAUUUACUCUUUUGGUAUUUGCAGAAGAGCAAGGUUCUGCCGUGCCAGAGAUGGUGCCUGUGCACACUGAAAGGAGGCAGCUGGGAAAGCUACACUGCCCAGGUCCUUCCAGACAUACUGCCAGACAUCUCCAAGCCUCAGCAGCAGGGCUGCUUUAUGGCAAUCUCCAGAGCUUCACCAGCCUUGUGAACCCAGGGAAAAGACACUGCUGGCUGCUGUCCCUCAGCACAGCCUGCUGCCUACUAGAGUUAUCCCAUGUGUGCCAGAGGGAGCCUCAAGUGCCCCCAUCCCCAUGGAUUACAUGGAUUACUUCCAUGCUGCAAUCAUCCUGGCUGCUAGGCUAGGCCAAGCUCUGCAGCAGCUGGAACAUCCAAUGUUACUGAUGUGCACUGGGGCUUUUUCCUCAGCUUGGGUAAUUGAAUGAAGUUCAUGGUUUUCACAGUGCAGGUGAUAAAUACAGUGACCUAAAUAGCACAACAGCAACCCCGAGAGGAUGUUCUCACAGACAUCUAUGCUGUGACUGGUUCUGCAGGGGAGUCUGCUGUCUUUCACUCAUUGUCUGGGCCCACCCAGCCCAAGCUUAGCAAAGCACUUGGGUAGUGUCUAACCUUCACAUGUCGUCCUUGAAGUCUCCCCUUGCCAAGUUAGGGCUUUGAUCUAUAUUCACUUGCUACCCAGAAGACUGUCAGUCCUUUUAAUACCACAGCCUUAGCUUAUUUGGCAUCUUGCCACAUUAAUUGGAAGUUAAUUACAGUUUUCAGCAAGUCCACUGAGAUGUUAAACUUUUGUAUUGCCACAAAGUUGAAGGAAUGAGAUGUCACUCUUCGUCUUUUUACCUCUGCUAUUUUAUAGAACUUGUGAGUUUAAAAGAUGCAACAGUGUUUUUAUUAAGAUGCAGAGAUUCUAAAAAUUUUAUUUCUGAGAUUGUGCUACCACAUCAGGGAUAUGUUCACUAAACAUUUACUAAAAGUGCUUUCAAGAAAAUGGAAUAUAAUUUAAAAAACAACAGUUAUCAAGAACAUGGAAUUAGAAUUUGUUUUAUGCGGUGUGUGAGUACGAUAGUUCAAAAGUACACACAGUUUUAAUACACGUUUUGGAAUUUUCUGUUCA